rnacentral:misc_RNA from 1 species
GUAGGGCUUCGGCCCUGUCGAGAUAGAACCCUUGCCUUUAUGAGUACCGUCCGUUUCCUCGGCAGGUCCGCCUGCCGAUGGACAAAAAAAAUAAACCCUUUAUCACCUGUAUCAGUCUGAAAAAUAAAUAAAAAUUAAAACUUUCAACAACGGAUCUCUUGGUUCU